GGGCUGGUAGCUCAAUGGUAGAGCAAAUGACUCUUAAUCAUUAGGUUCAGGGUUCGAGUCCCUGCCAGCUCA
rfam:Chloroflexi bacterium RBG_16_48_7 RBG_16_scaffold_24571, whole genome shotgun sequence.